CUCUCUCUCUCUCUCUGGCCAACAAAUCUGUGAAGAAUGAAGGUGGUGGCGUUGUGGUGUUCCGACCAAUAAACUCUAGAUCCGGGCUGCCAUCUCAAAUAACCAUCAUCAUACCCAUCGGCUUUCAGAUCUCUAUUGUGUUUUCGAAGCUUUCAGAUGUGUUGUUGAGUGGCUUUCAAAGCUUUAAGAUCUGUAUUCUUCUCCGCUCAUAUCUGAACGGUGGCAGUGGUGCUUUGUUAGCAACUAUAAAGAUUUAGAAGAAAUAUUUUAGGCUAUGUAUCUGGGUCGGUGGUUGUACAAACAAGGAGCAUCUGAUUGCUUUGUAAUUCGGGUCAAAUUGUUGUGUACAGAUCUUAUCUCUUAGUGGAAUAUAAGGUAAAAUUAUUAUAUUCUUGUUUUUAAAUUGUUAUUUGGGUAAAUGUGGAUGAAAGGGUAAUUGUGGACUCAAUGAAAGUUAGUUAG
rnacentral:lncRNA from 1 species